rnacentral:lncRNA from 1 species
AUGCAGCGAGGCACGCAGCAGCGACGACAGUCGAAUCGGCAACAGAGCGUUGGUGAACUCGAUGAAUACGACCACGGACGUGGGCUGGCGCGGAUAGGACAACGGCGACUGGUGAGCCCAACAGAGGAGCUUGCGCAACGACAACCAAACAGUGAAGCACACGCGCGCAGCCAGGGACUCAACGGGACGCUGGUUCCAGGGAGCCGCGCGAGAGGGAGCAAGAAGCCAAUCCAACGGUGGUUCAGCAGCAUGCGAUGGCUGGGUCCGAGGGGGCAAGUACCCAAGCCAAGCGGCAUGUUGAGGUCAGCACUCCGAGCGUACAUGCUUUGUGCCCAUGUCCGCGAUGAACCAGCCGCAGGAGAAUCCCGGACUCGGGCAUGGAGGAAGCAGAUGGCGCCCGAGCUGGGAGGGAGCUCCGGCCGGACUCGACAGAGGAAGCUGGGGGGUUGCGACUUCCAUGGCCGAGUAGAGAACCGGCAUGGGCGCGGCGACCAGCGCCAUAGCGGGGCGGAGUUCGGGGAGGGGCUCGGUAGAGCGCGAGCAAGCAGAGAGCGCGGCGCGCGGCGACGGGGGCUCGGGAAAAGGGAAGCCGCGGCGCGUGCGCAGGGAGGAGCGGCCGAGCUAGGCAUCAGAGAGAGAGAGAGAGCAGCAGCAGCGGCAGAGGAAGAGGGAGGAGCUUGGGCGCGCCAUGGCUGGGAGCUUGGGGAAAAAGCCGCGUCAUGGGGGAAGCAAGGGACCAGGAGCGAGCAGGAAGGGCACGCGGCAGGGGGAGAGAGGAGCGGCUCGGAAGAUGGCGGAAGCUUGUGCGACGACGACUGGAUAAAGCUCCUGCGCGUGUAG